AGGGUGCAAUCUACAGGCCAAGAGUUACCGUGGAGCCGAGACUCACACAAACAUGAACAUACACAUUCCUACAGGUACUACAGCACAAUCAAAAAAUGUCACACUCACAGACAACAUUCUAGUAAGCUCUUAAAGUGUCUCAUUUCAUUCGUAAAUGUGCAAAAUCAUUUUAACCCUCUGAGGUCCAUGGACUUGCUGGGCGUCUAAGUGUAUUUUUCAUCAUAUUUUGAUUCAUAGAUCAGCAACAGAUCAACACAGAGACGUUAUUCAACAACUUCCUGAAACUACAAAUUCUCAGGUGUAAAAUCCAUGAUCCACAAUCUCUGACUCACAGCCAAUCAUACAGAGGCUGGAGAAGGUCACAUCUAUGUAUCUCCUCUCUCACCUGGCGAGAGGCUUCAGUCUGGCUGCAGUGUGUUAGUA